UGACUUUCUCAAAGAAAGAAGACUCAAGAAGCUCUCCCUCUCUAUUCCCAUGGGUCCAAUUAAAUCAGAAAAUUAUCACCUCACUUUUCUCUCUUUUCUCUUAAGGAAAGAGCUAAAAGCUCUCUUAAGUCCAUGGGUUCACACACCAAAAGAAAGAUAAAGCUCCAAAUCAUUUCUUCUUCAUAUUCUCUCAAAGAAAACUCUCUCAAGCUCUCUACCUCUCAUACUUUCGGGUCCAACCACUAGGAAAGGGAAAUCCUUUCAUGCAAGAGUGAUUUUAUUUCUAUUUCCCCUCAAGAACCAGAAACUUGGUGUUACUAGUACCCAAGUCUAAGCUCCUUCGACUUUAGGCUCUUGGUUCCUCUGCUUUCAGUCAACAGAUUUUAUUUUGGAGCAGAGCAAGCCUUAAUCGAGUUUUGGAAGGAGCUAGUUUUAGUUUUAUGUGUAUAGAUUCUAAAUUAGCAAUUUGAUGUUUAGAUUUGUAGUAUGGUGUAUUUUAUGAUCUAAUGAAAGGGGUGUACCUUAAAGUAUUAAGAGAUAUAUUAUGUAAAAGUGUGGAUAUUGAAUAAUUGAUAGAUUAUGUUAUUCUUGAGUACA